rnacentral:rRNA from 1 species
CAGGCCUAACACAUGCAAGUCGAACGGGAUACAUCAUUACGGUGAUGUUGAGAGUGGCGAACGGGUGCGUAACACGUGGUUAACCUGCCCCCGGGACGGGGACAACCGCUGGAAACGGCGGCUAAUACCGGAUAAUGCCUUUUACGGGGGACUGUAGGAGGCGAAAGGGAGCUUAUGGCUUUCGUCCGGGGAGGGGACUGCGGCCCAUCAGCUGGAUGGUGGGGUAAGGGCUCACCAUGGCUAGGACGGGUAGGGGAUCUGAGAGGGUGGUCCUCCACACCGGGACUGAGACACGGCCCGGACUCCUGCGGGAGGCAGCAGUGAGGGAUAUUGCGCAAUGGGCGAAAGCCUGACGCAGCGACGCCGCGUGGGUGAAGAAGGUUUUCGGAUCGUAAAGCCCUUUUCUGCGUGGAGAAGAUGACGGUAGCGCAGGAAUAAGUGUCGGCUAACUACGUGCCAGCAGCCGCGGUAACACGUAGGACACGAACGUUAUCCGGAAUUACUGGGCGUAAGGGGCGCGCAGGCGGUUUUACAAGACGGACAUGAAAGCCUGGGGCUCAACUCCGGGAGGCUGUCGGUGACUGUGAGA